rnacentral:tRNA from 1 species
UCUAAUAUGGCAGAUUAGUGCGCUGGAUUUAAACCCCAAAUAUAAAAAUUAACUUUUUUUUUAGAA